UAGGGAAUCUUCCGCAAUGGGCGAAAGCCUGACGGAGCAACGCCGCGUGAGUGAUGAAGGUCUUCGGAUCGUAAAACUCUGUUAUUAGGGAAGAACAAAUGUGUAAGUAACUAUGCACAUCUUGACGGUACCUAAUCAGAAAGCCACGGCUAACUACGUGCCAGCAGCCGCGGUAAUACGUAGGUGGCAAGCGUUAUCCGGAAUUAUUGGGCGUAAAGCGCGCGUAGGCGGUUUUUUAAGUCUGAUGUGAAAGCCCACGGCUCAACCGUGGAGGGUCAUUGGAAACUGGAAAACUUGAGUGCAGAAGGGGAGAGUGGAAUUCCAUGUGUAGCGGUGAAAUGCGUAGAUAUAUGGAGGAACACCGGUGGCGAAAGCGGCUCUCUGGUCUGUAACUGACGCUGAGGCUCGAAAGCGUGGGGAGCGAACAGG
rnacentral:rRNA from 1 species